rnacentral:rRNA from 1 species
UACAGAGGUCCCAAGCGUUGUUCGGACUCAUUGGGCGUAAAGGGCGCGUAGGCGGCUCGGCACGUCCGUUGUGAAAUCGCCCGGCUCAACUGGGCGGGGUCGGCGGAUACGGCCGAGCUGGAGCAAGCUAGGGGGUAAUGGAAUUCCCGGUGUAGUGGUGGAAUGCGUAGAUAUCGGGAGGAACACCAGUGGCGAAGGCGGUUACCUGGAGCUUUGCUGACGCUGAUGCGCGAAAGCGUGGGGAGCGAUCCGG